CUGUAGCCAAUGAAGGCAACCAGGUUCCUUUCCUUUCCUCAUGGGGCCCCAGGGUGCAAACCCUGCAAACAGCAGUCUCCUUGGGAGUGCAUACAACCUGCAGCUUACAUAGGUUGCUCUACGGGACCUUGGAGACACGU